rnacentral:lncRNA from 1 species
AUUUUGGUUAAUUUUUUACAUUUUUUUCUCAUUGAACCUGGAAUUUGUGGUUUUAUUCUAAGUUAAAUGGUUGACCGCAACACCUUUAUUUUAGAUUAGUUGGAGAAACUUGCAAUAAGAUUGGCGUAGUUUCAAUAUCUGUGUGUCUUCUCAUGAGUGUUACUUGUGAAGAAUUGAUUUUAUGUAACCUUUAUGUGAGAUAAUUAUUUGUAAAUAUUUGCCAUAAUUUUAUUGGUUCCUAAAAUAAAAGUAAUUUUUUAAGUUC